AGAGUUUGAUCCUGGCUCAGAAUGAACGCUGGCGGCGUGCCUAACACAUGCAAGUCGUACGAGAAAGGGGCUUCGGCCCUGAGUAGAGUGGCGCACGGGUGAGUAACGCGUGGGUAAUCUACCCUUGGAUUUGGGAUAACUCUGCGAAAGUGGAGCUAAUACCGGAUAGUCUGGCUUUUAAUAGAAGUCGGUAAAGGAUGCCUCUGCAUAUGCAUUCGUCCGAGGAUGAGCCCGCGUCUCAUUAGCUAGUUGGUAGGGUAAUGGCCUACCAAGGCAACGAUGAGUAGCUGGUCUGAGAGGAUGAUCAGCCACACUGGAACUGAAACACGGUCCAGACUCCUACGGGAGGCAGCAGUGGGGAAUAUUGCGCAAUGGGCGAAAGCCUGACGCAGCAACGCCGUGUGAGGGAUGAAGGCUUUCGGGUCGUAAACCUCUGUCGGAAGGGAAGAACGGGCAUUGGUCUAAUAGGCCUUUGUUUUGACGGUACCUUUGGAGGAAGCACCGGCUAACUCCGUGCCAGCAGCCGCGGUAAUACGGAGGGUGCAAGCGUUAUUCGGAAUUACUGGGCGUAAAGCGCACGUAGGCCGCUUUGUAAGUCAGGGGUGAAAUCCCACGGCUCAACCGUGGAACUGCCUUUGAAACUGCAGAGCUUGAAUCCUGGAGAGGGUGGCGGAAUUCCUGGUGUAGGAGUGAAAUCCGUAGAUAUCAGGAGGAACACCGGUGGCGAAGGCGGCCACCUGGACAGGCAUUGACGCUGAGGUGCGAAAGUGUGGGGAGCAAACAGGAUUAGAUACCCUGGUAGUCG
rnacentral:rRNA from 1 species